CAGCCGCCGCGGUAAUACCGGCGGCCCGAGUGGUGGCCGCUCUUAUUGGGCCUAAAGCGUCCGUAGCCGGGUUGGUUAGUCUCCCGGGAAAUCUGGCCGCUUAACGGUCAGAAUUCCGGGAGAUACUGCCAGCCUAGGGACCGGGAGAGGCCGAGGGUAUUCCCGGAGUAGGGGUGAAAUCCUAUAAUCCCGGGAGGACCACCUGUGGCGAAGGCGCUCGGCUGGAACGGGUCCGACGGUGAGGGACGAAGGCCAGGGGAGCAAACCGGAUUAGAUACCCGGGUAGUCCUGGCUGUAAACGAUGCGGACUUUGUGUCGGACAAGCUAUGAGCUUGUCCGGUGCCGGAGGGAAACCGUUAAGUCCGCCGCCUGGGGAGUACGGCCGCAAGGCUGAAACUUAAAGGAAUUGGCGGG
rnacentral:rRNA from 1 species